UUCCAUGCUGAUGGCCUGCUGCACCCCAGCAGAUUUGGAGCCAACAUCUUCAAGAUGCUAUUAACCAUAGAUGUCCAUUCCAAGGUUACUAGAGAUUACGCCAGCUCCAGUUUGGAUCCAGCCUCAUUUGUGAAGACUUCAGAUGACGCCAACACUCACAAAGACUUCAGAUGUUGGCAACUGUAAAUGGCCAUUCAAAACUGACAAAUAUUAUCCUUAUAUUGCCUUUAAUGGCAAGUUUGACAAUUUUCAACCCACUUUGUAUUAUUGCAAUGUUUCUCAUGUGCACCUAUAUGUCCCCUUUUAUUUGUAAGCAACACUCCGCAGGAUGACGCAAAAUGAAAUGACGAGUUUUGACAAAAUGACAAAAAAAAAAAUAAUAAUAAUUUUUU